rnacentral:rRNA from 1 species
CCUACGGGGGGCAGCAGUGAGGAAUAUUGGUCAAUGGCCGAGAGGCUGAACCAGCCAAGUCGCGUGAGGGAAGACGGCCCUACGGGUUGUAAACCUCUUUUGUCGGGGAGCAAAGCGAACCACGUGUGGUUCAUUGUGAGUACCCGAUGAAAAAGCAUCGGCUAACUCCGUCCCAGCAGCCGCGGUAAUCCGGAGGAUGCGAGCGUUAUCCGGAUUUAUUGGGUUUAAAGGGUGCGUAGGCGGUGGGGCAAGUCAGCGGUAAAAUUGCGGGGCUCAACCCCGUACUGCCGUUGAAACUGCAUCCCUUGAGUGCGCGAGAGGUAUGCGGAAUGCGGGGUGUAGCGGUGAAAUGCAUAGAUAUCACGAAGAACUCCGAUUGCGAAGGCAGCAUACCGGCGCGCAACUGACGCUCAUGCACGAAAGCGUGGGUAUCGAACAGGAUUAGAUACCCGAGUAGUC